rnacentral:rRNA from 1 species
ACGGAAGGCAGCAGUGGGGAAUAUUGCACAAUGGGGGAAACCCUGAUGCAGCGACGCCGCGUGAGUGAAGAAGUAUUUCGGUAUGUAAAGUUCUAUCAGCAGGGAAGAAAAUGACGGUACCUGACUAAGAAGCCCCGGCUAACUACGUGCAAGCAGCCGCGGUAAUACGUAGGGGGCAAGCGUUAUCCGGAUUUACUGGGUGUAAAGGGAGCGUAGACGGCGAGGCAAGUCUGAAGUGAAAGCUCGGGGCUCAACCCGGGAACGGCUUUGGAAACUGUUUUGCUAGAGUGCAGGAGAGGCAAGUGGAAUUCCUAGUGUAGCGGUGAAAUGCUUAGAUAUUAGGAGGAACACCAGUGGCGAAGGAGGCUGCUGGACUGUAACUGACUUUGAGGCUCGAAAGCGUGGGGAGCAAACAGGAUUAGAUACCCUGGUA